UGUUUCUGUUUUGCUGCUUCAGGGCCCUGAAUGAGAAAGCUGAAGUCUUGACAUUAUUCACUUCCAGUGUGAUUUCCACCCCCGCCUCCCCUUCCCCAUUUCUUUUCUUUUGGUCAAGCCGCAAACUUCAUUCUCAAUUUCCUGAACGCUGAUGCAAGGAUUGUAAGAUAGUUGGAUUGUUGGAAUGGCAGUGAACAGAUGUCUCAGCAAAUAACUGAGCGUUCCGGCCACGGGAGCAGGAGGUGUCCCGCGGGUGGCUGUCUGCUCGGGGAGCCAGCAGCGAUCCGGCGGCUGACCACGAGAGGUCAGCGCCGGCUUUGCUGCCAGCGCAGCGCCGAGCGGCAGCGGCACCUCGCCCGUCCGCAGAGCAAGGGACCGAAUCGAGCCUCGCCGUGCUGCGGGAGCACCGGGAGCUGACACUGGCCUUGCACCAGGGCUGUCAGCAAGGACGGCAGAAACCACUCACUCACCUCUGAGUGCUGUUGCCAUGUCAUUUUCACCGCCGUCCACCGUCUCCCCCUUGACCUACAGGGUGAUAUGAAGCACUCGAGAGCUGAUCCACCAUAGGUCUGUGCCCAGCAGUUAAAUGUGUUAAAAGCAUGGAAGGAGAAAGACCAAGAAAGCAAGCAGUGGACACCGACCUUCACUAAAGUUCAGUUUGCUUAUUAGUGCCAAAGGUAUCACAUCUGCAGAGCUGAUGCCUUCAAACCAGGGACGAGACCUUGGGCUUGCACAGCUUUCCUUUCUACAACUCCUCUUCUGCGUCAGAGGCCCGGUGUUGAUUCUGUGGUUUGAAAUAAGCUGGAUCAAGUAUCUAGUAAUAAAUGCUUCACGGCCUUCA
rnacentral:lncRNA from 1 species